GUGACGAGGACUGUGGUCUUACCUUCCACAUGUGGAGGGCUUGAGGAGUAGCAGUUUGCAUGGUGUCCAGUCUGCCCUGAGUCUAACAGGAGAAGAUGAAGAAAGCAGAAGUUAAAGAACAGGUUCACAUGGCUGAAGUCUAUCUCAGCUAUCACAGGGAGAGAGGCGAGGUCCACCUGAACAGGCCAUCAGUCUUUCACAACAGAUGGAAAACCACAUUCUCAAGUCUACACCAUUGUGUUUUUAGGCGUAUCCUAACAAGUGUCUCAUGGGAUUGUGAGAGAGCACAAAACUCCUCAGAAAGACCCCUGCUGACAUUUGACAUUUGAACCCAGAGCCUUCUCGCUGCAUGGAAAG